rnacentral:rRNA from 1 species
GAUGAACGCUGGCGGCGUGCCUAAUACAUGCAAGUCGAGCGAAUGGAUUAAGAGCUUGCUCUUAUGAAGUUAGCGGCGGACGGGUGAGUAACACGUGGGUAACCUGCCCAUAAGACUGGGAUAACUCCGGGAAACCGGGGCUAAUACCGGAUAACAUUUUGAACCGCAUGGUUCGAAAUUGAAAGGCGGCUUCGGCUGUCACUUAUGGAUGGACCCGCGUCGCAUUAGCUAGUUGGUGAGGUAACGGCUCACCAAGGCAACGAUGCGUAGCCGACCUGGGGGGGUGAUCGGCCACACUGGGACUGAGACACGGCCCAGACUCCUACGGGAGGCAGCAGUAGGGAAUCUUCCGCAAUGGACGAAAGUCUGACGGAGCAACGCCGCGUGAGUGAUGAGGGCUUUCGGGUCGUAAAACUCUGUUGUUAGGGAAGAACAAGUGCUAGUUGAAUAAGCUGGCACCUUGACGGUACCUAACCAGAAAGCCACGGCUAACUACGUGCCAGCCGCCGCGGUAA